rnacentral:rRNA from 1 species
UACGGAGGUGGCAAGCGUUGCUCGGAAUCACUGGGCGUAAAGGGCGCGUAGGCGGGGAGGUAAGUCGGGUGUGAAAUCCCUCGGCCCAACCGAGGAACUGCGCCCGAGACUGCUUCUCUUGAGUCCCGGAGAGGAAGAUGGAAUUCCCGGUGUAGCAGUGAAAUGCGUAGAGAUCGGGAGGAACAUCAGUUGCGAAGGCGGCUCUCUGGACCAGUACUGACGCUGAGGCACGAAAGCGUGGGGAGCAAACAGG